rnacentral:rRNA from 1 species
AUGGCGGAGAAGGCGAUGGUGCAAUCUGCGGAGAUCCCGGCGACAAAGGCAAACCCGACGGCGACAACGACCCCGGGAAAAGCAACGAGUGGGGGCUCUUCUAGCUCCCCGAUCACAUGCAAGACGCCAGAUCCUACCGCAAGCCUCUCAGCUAGGAUGGGAGGGAUGGUUUUGCUGGAUAAGGAGGCGGAGGGUUUCGUCUUCGAGGAACCGGAUCAGAUCUUGCCCAAGAAUAUGAAGUGGUCAGCGGUGGGAAAGGCGUUCUCCCCGCGUCCGCUGAACAUGACUGUGCUGGAGAAAACGAUGCAGAGGGCUUGGGGUCUUCACCAUGAGGCUCGGUUCCGGGACAUGGGCGACAACGUCUUCGUUGUGCACUUUGGGAGCGAAAGGGGAUUGGAGACAUGCAAUGAAUAA